GAUGAAGAACGUAGCGAAAUGCGAUAAGUAAUGUGAAUUGCAGAAUUCAGUGAAUCAUCGAAUCUUUGAACGCACAUUGCGCCCCCUGGCCUUCCGGGGGGCAUGCCUGUCCGAGCGUCAUUGCUGCCCUCAAGCACGGCUUGUGUGUUGGGCCUCCGUCCUCCUCCCGGGGGACGGGCCCGAAAGGCAGCGGCGGCACCGCGUCCGGUCCUCGAGCGUAUGGGGCUUCGUCACCCGCUCUUGUAGGCCCGGCCGGCGCUUGCCGACACAUCAAUCUUUUUUCCAGGUUGACCUCGGAUCAGGUAGGGAUACCCGCUGAACUUAAGCAUAUCAAUAAGCGGAGGA
rnacentral:misc_RNA from 1 species